AAUCCCCUCAAGCCUGGCUUGGUAUUGGGCGCCGGGGACCCCCCGCGCCUCCAUUUCGCCGGCUGGCCGUCGUUUGACUUAGCGUUGUGACACAUGUCGCUGACGACGAAGACGGACCGCGCCGUGAGAAUUUCCUUGGGUGUCGUCGAUACUCAGUAAA
rnacentral:misc_RNA from 1 species